rnacentral:lncRNA from 1 species
CAGAGAUUAAGAAACACUCUAUUAGAGGAGAGAUUAAGAAACACUCUAUCAGAGGCUGACCUAAAGCGCAAAAUUUAAGAAACUCUAGCAGCGCGCAUAAAUUAUAAACCUCACUAUUAGAAGGAUACAAAAUUAUCACAAAAAAAAGGAUACAAAAAUUACGAAUCUAUAUCGAUACUCGGAGGGAUCCCUUAACCAUGGCUCCUUGAUCCUUGUAGCUCAUAUGCUCCUUGAUCAAGGAACACCAUUUAUAUGUCAAUCAUGGAUGUUGUAGAUCAUGGUAAAUAAAAAUAUUUGUGUCAAAAUAUCAUUCCUCUUGUUGAUUACUGAUUUCUGCCGCAGAAUCUAAUUGCCCACCUUUAUCGGGGAUCACGUUCUUGUGCAGUCAAAACUUUCUCGUAUUUAUAUAGUCGGUCAUAUGCAGCCGCUCAAUUAAGAUCAAACAGUUUAAAACCAC